UACGUAGGGCGCGAGCGUUGUCCGGAAUUAUUGGGCGUAAAGAGCUCGUAGGCGGCUUGUUGCGUCUGCUGUGAAAUCCCUGGGCUCAACCCAGGGCCUGCAUCGGAAACUGUCGGGCUUGAGUAUGGGAGAGGUGAGUGGAAUUUCCGGUGUAGCGGUGAAAUGCGUAGAUAUCGGGAGGAACACCUGUGGCGAAAGCGGCUCACUGGACCAUAACUGACGCUGAUGCACGAAAGCUGGGGGAGCAAACAGG
rnacentral:rRNA from 1 species